GUUUGGUGAUUCAUCGCCAGUUGUGGUGACUCGCACUCUUGUGUGGCAGGAACUGUUGUGUGCAGUCAUACAGUGGCGUUGCUGUUUCAAACAGCACAUUGCUCUCAGCUCAGGACACCAGUUGUGCCCCCUGUGCAUAGCUGCACAGAAUCUGAGCAGCAAUGGCACAAGCCACGAACAAUGGGUGUCAGGCCAGGGCCUAUCAAGUCCAUGGUCUUCACUAAGCCAGUACCAAACAGGAUGGUGCAGACUGGAGUGAGAAGUGGAUUCUACAGAGGUAUGGUGGGUCCCUUGCCAGACCCCUGUAUGUUCAGAAUUGAGGAGGUAUAUGCUAAAUUCAGCAUGGAGGACAGGCCACUCGUAACCACAAUGAACAUGGGACCUGACAAGCCCCUUGUGGAAAGUGCCUUUGGGCUGGUGCAGAGGGGCAGUGUUCUUUCUUACCAAAAGCC